GGUUCAAUGGUCUAGUGGUUAUGAUUUCUGUCUCACACUAGUGCACAGAAGGUCCCCAGUUCGACCCUGGGUUGAACCA